rnacentral:rRNA from 1 species
GGGCGUUAAGUUGCAGGGUAUAGACCCGAAACCCGGUGAUCUAGCCAUGGGCAGGUUGAAGGUUGGGUAACACUAACUGGAGGACCGAACCGACUAAUGUUGAAAAAUUAGCGGAUGACCUGUGGCUGGGGGUGAAAGGCCAAUCAAACCGGGAGAUAGCUGGUUCUCCCCGAAAGCUAUUUAGGUAGCGCCUCGUGAAUUCAUCUCCGGGGGUAGAGCACUGUUUCGGCUAGGGGGCCAUCCCGGCUUACCAACCCGAUGCAAACUGCGAAUACCGGAGAAUGUUAUCACGGGAGACACACGGCGGGUGCUAACGUCCGUCGUGAAGAGGGAAACAACCCAGACCGCCAGCUAAGGUCCCAAAGUCAUGGUUAAGUGGGAAACGAUGUGGGAAGGCCCAGACAGCCAGGAUGUUGGCUUAGAAGCAGCCAUCAUUUAAAGAAAGCGUAAUAGCUCACUGGUCGAGUCGGCCUGCGCGGAAGAUGUAACGGGGCUAAACCAUGCACCGAAGCUGCGGCAGCGACGUUUAUGCGUUGUUGGGUAGGGGAGCGUUCUGUAAGCCUGCGAAGGUGGCCUGUGAGGGUUGCUGGAGGUAUCAGAAGUGCGAAUGCUGACAUAAGUAACGAUAAAGCG